UACGUAGGGGGCAAGCGUUGUCCGGAAUCAUUGGGCGUAAAGAGCGUGUAGGCGGCCAGAUAAGUCCGCUGUGGAAAUCUCGAGGCUCAACUUCGAGCUGUCGGUGGAAACUGUCUGGCUAGAGUCCGGAAGAGGAGAAUGGAAUUCCUGGUGUAGCGGUGAAAUGCGCAGAUAUCAGGAAGAACACCCGUGGCGAAGGCGGUUCUCUGGGACGGUACUGACGCUGAGACGCGAAAGCGUGGGGAGCAACAGG
rnacentral:rRNA from 1 species